AGUCAAGCAAAAUGGUAUACUUCAUGAGGCAGACGAUUGGAAACUCCUCCGGAACAGUUGGUAUUAUUCAUGCACUGGGGAAUGCUGCUUCCAAAAUCAAUCUAGGUAAGGGGUCAUAUUUUGAUAGAUUUUAUAAACAAACUACUGAUAUGGAUCCAUUCCAUUUUAGUGGUUCAUGUGUUACAAUUCAAAGGCUUCCAUGAAGAUGGAUUGCCUUUGUGUUAAACUAACAUAUUGGAUACUUCAUAAUUUCAGCGUUCUUCAUUUCUUGAGGAGGCUACUCAUUUUAUACAGACUGUAUGUUAUGGAUUUAAUGCAUUUCUUUGUCUCACGCCAUAAGGCUACUCAUUUUAUACAGACUUAUGUAAUGGAUUAUCAGUUGUAGAAAUUUUGAUGAGUAUGGAUGUAACUGUGUAUGGAUGUAAUGUAAUGGAUAUGUAUGGAUGUAACUGUGUAUGGAUGUAAUUAAGGAAUAUAAGAAAUUUUGAUUUUUUUUA